rnacentral:rRNA from 2 species
GUUAAAACUCAAAUGAAUUGACGGGGGCCCGCACAAGCGGUGGAGCAUGUGGUUUAAUUCGAUGCAACGCGAAGAACCUUACCUGGUCUUGACAUCCACGGAAGUUUUCAGAGAUGAGAAUGUGCCUUCGGGAACCGUGAGACAGGUGCUGCAUGGCUGUCGUCAGCUCGUGUUGUGAAAUGUUGGGUUAAGUCCCGCAACGAGCGCAACCCUUAUCCUUUGUUGCCAGCG